rnacentral:lncRNA from 1 species
CUAUCACAGCUUCACAAAUAAGUUACUCUUACAUUGUACACCUCUUGUUCCUUCGGGCAGACCUCUGAGAGAAAAUAGCCAUUGGGCUACUCUUAUAAAUUAAAUCUGUCAUGCUUAUCAGCUAAAUGACUAUGCAACAAAUUUGAUUAGUCCAUUAGUGUAGAUAUCAUUUGGAGUAUGAACCACUAAUUUUCAAAGAAUAAAUCAUCAUAAACUAACAGCAGAUUGAUUAUGAGAUGAUUCAUAGCACAUAAACUUGUAAGCCAAAAUAACAAUGAAUCUGUGAUAAUAGACCUACACAACGAUACUGAACAAUUGUGUAAGCAAGUCAAGAGACAAAUCCAAUCACCAUAUUUAGUUUAGAUGAGCACCCAAAACUAGAAAUUUACACAGAAUCGAUUGCAAUAGAAUACAGUAAUGGAAUCAAAUACAAAUAACAUCAAAUAAUUCAAACUUUAUUCAUAACUGCAACAGAAAGCUAAUAGGCAAAUUUAUACAUGCCUAAUGGCGGGAAAUAACAAAUAAAGGACCAAAUAAAGGUCAGAAAACCAGGUAUGAAGCCAAGUUCAAUAGAGAAGCACAAGCAACAGCAGUAUAGAAGGAUUAGCUUCCAAAACCCUUUUUUUGUUUUUUUCUUUCUAAGUCUAAACUCAGAUUUCAGAGAGAAAAGAAAAAGAAAAUCAGUGUGUUCUUGAGUGUAUUUGAGAGAGAUGUUCAGUGCCCAUCCAUUUUCUUUUCUUUUUUCAAAAUGAAUGAGGAGAAGAUCUUUUUAUAGAAGAUUUUAGGGCAACCAGAUAUCUGAUUUUUAAUUCACUUCCACCCUUCAAACUUUUUAUUUUACCCCCUAGGAUCCCAAAAAAAUCUGAACUGUAUUUAUUUUCUUUGCAGAAAACCAACCUUAUCCUCUAGAAACUUCUUUAGUUAUAACAAAAAAUAUUCUUCAAGUCAAAAAACCUAAAUUAAUCCCCUAAUACCCCUGUAUUUACUUCUCAAACAAUACCAAUAACUGGGUCAUCUAACCAAAGGCUUAGGCUCGAACAAAUGGGGCUUCUACUUUCCAAGCCGAUGACACACAAAAUUCCAAAUACAGACAAACCAAAGAUCGAAUGACAAACAUUGUAAAAUUAUAAAUAUUGAAAUUUUAAAAGCUUGAUUGAACUAAUUAUAAUGAUAAUAAACUAUAAGCCAAACUUGUUAAUUAACAAAAGACCCUAAACAAAAUAAUAAUUAAACAAAAGUAAAUAGAAAAUCUUAUCAACAAUUAAAAUAACCAUUAUUAUUCUCCUUCUCUUUUUUUUUUUAACAAAGCAACAAAACAAGAUAGGAGGGACAAGAGAAUACCUAAUGAGAAAGAAAGACGAUUUGAAGUGAAUCCAUGAAGUUUGGCCGGAUUUCGACAAUUCGAGAUGAACUAAAACUUACAUUAAUCAACGGAUCUUGACAAGAACCAUUAGCUAAUGUUAGUUUUAACUCAAAACAGGCUAAAAUCAAUGGAGAUAUCAACAAAAAAAAAUUGGCAUUUCUGGCCUUUUUGGAUCUAACACCUAGGGAGUUCUAGGGUGUUUCCAAAGAAGCUAAAAUGAGAUAUGAGAUGAGGAGGAAGAGAGGAUUAUGGGGUGUGAAUUUGGGUGGAUUUGGAGGAGUUAUGGUGGCGGCCACCGGUGGAGGAUUGUUGGGCGGCUAGGGUUAGAAUUGAGAGAGAGAUGGGGAAAUGGGGAGGGUUCUGUGAGGUU